rnacentral:rRNA from 1 species
UAGUACCUUACUACAUGGAUACCUGUGGUAAUUCUAGAGCUAAUACAUGCUAAAAACCCCGACUCACGAAGGGGUGUAUUUAUUAGAUAAAAAACCAACGCCCUUCGGGCGCUCCUUGGUGAAUCAUAAUAACUUAACGAAUCGCAUGGCCUUGCGCCGGCGAUGGUUCAUUCAAAUUUCUGCCCUAUCAACUUUCGAUGGUAGGAUAGUGGCCUACCAUGGUGGCAAMGGGUAAMGGGGAAUUAGGGUUCGAUUCCGGAGAGGGAGCCUKAGAAAMGSGCUAMMAMAUMMAAGGAAGGCAGCAGGCGCGCAAAUUACCCAAUCCCGAUACGGGAGGUAGUGACAAUAAAUACUGAUACGGGGCUCUUUUGGGUCUCGUAAUUGGAAUKAGAACAAUUUAAAUMCCUUAAMGAGGAACAAUUGGAGGGCAAGUMUGGUGCCAGCAGCMGCGGUAAUUCCAGCUCCAAUAGCGUAUAUUAAAGUUGUUGCAGUUAAAAAGCUCGUAGUUGAACCUUGGGUCU